rfam:Streptomyces sp. NRRL F-4489 P373contig43.1, whole genome shotgun sequence.
GCCGGUCCUCGGUAGUGGCCCCCGGACGGCCCAUGGUCCCGACCAUGCGGCAGCACCCCGGGUGCUUCGAUCGAAGACCGGC